AGCCGGGCCCACUGGACCGAGGGACGGCGGCGGCCAGAGACUAGGGGGCCCGUGGGCCCAUAGCUGGGGCUGGCACCGGGCAGCCUGCUGGCCGGCGGGACCUGCCCUCCUCCCCCACCCGGGUGACCGGCUGGGCCCAGGGACGUCAUUUUCACUUCCUGGCUUUGGAGAAGACGCCUCCAUCCUCCGGCACCUCGGGUAAGUCACCUUCUUUCCUUCUGUCGUGAAGACGAGCCGAGGGUGCUGCCAUCUUGUGCCCCGGUGCCUGUUACGUGUCCUCCCUCUAAUUGGUUCUCCAAACUCAGAAUUCUAUUUCAGAGCCCUCCAUCUUCCGUGCAGGAAGCCCUGCCAAAAACUGCAGGGAAAAUGCAGAAGCCAAGCCCAUUUACUUUCAAGAUCCAAAGCUACAGGCUUUAGAAAUCACAAUAAAAAUGAAUGUUUAUUAUUUCACAG
ensembl:lncRNA MIRLET7BHG MIRLET7B host gene